rnacentral:rRNA from 1 species
GCUCUGUGGGAUCAGUGGCGAACGGGUGAGUAACACGUGAGCAACCUACCCCUGACUCUGGGAUAAGCGCUGGAAACGGCGUCUAAUACUGGAUACGAGUGGCGACCGCAUGGUCAGCUACUGGAAAGAUUUAUUGGUUGGGGAUGGGCUCGCGGCCUAUCAGCUUGUUGGUGAGGUAAUGGCUCACCAAGGCGUCGACGGGUAGCCGGCCUGAGAGGGUGACCGGCCACACUGGGACUGAGACACGGCCCAGACUCCUACGGGAGGCAGCAGUGGGGAAUAUUGCACAAUGGGCGCAAGCCUGAUGCAGCAACGCCGCGUGAGGGAUGACGGCCUUCGGGUUGUAAACCUCUUUUAGCAGGGAAGAAGCGAAAGUGACGGUACCUGCAGAAAAAGCGCCGGCUAACUACGUGCCAGCAGCCGCGGUAAUACGUAGGGCGCAAGCGUUAUCCGGAAUUAUUGGGCGUAAAGAGCUCGUAGGCGGUUUGUCGCGUCUGCUGUGAAAUCCGGAGGCUCAACCUCCGGCCUGCAGUGGGUACGGGCAGACUAGAGUGCGGUAGGGGAGAUUGGAAUUCCUGGUGUAGCGGUGGAAUGCGCAGAUAUCAGGAGGAACACCGAUGGCGAAGGCAGAUCUCUGGGCCGUAACUGACGCUGAGGAGCGAAAGGGUGGGGAGCAAACAGGCUUAGAUACCCUGGUAGUCCACCCCGUAAACGUUGGGAACUAGUUGUGGGGUCCAUUCCACGGAUUCCGUGACGCAGCUAACGCAUUAAGUUCCCCGCCUGGGGAGUACGGCCGCAAGGCUAAAACUCAAAGGAAUUGACGGGGACCCGCACAAGCGGCGGAGCAUGCGGAUUAAUUCGAUGCAACGCGAAGAACCUUACCAAGGCUUGACAUAUACGAGAACGGGCCAGAAAUGGUCAACUCUUUGGACACUCGUAAACAGGUGGUG